AUACGGAGGGAGCUAGCGUUGUUCGGAAUUACUGGGCGUAAAGCGCGCGUAGGCGGCUUUGCAAGUAGAGGGUGAAAUCCCAGGGCUUAACCCUGGAACUGCCUCCUAAACUGCAGAGCUAGAAUCCUGGAGAGGUGAGUGGAAUUCCUAGUGUAGAGGUGAAAUUCGUAGAUAGUAGGAAGAACACCAGUGGCGAAGGCGACUCACUGGACAGGUAUUGACGCUAAGGUGCGAAAGCGUGGGGAGCGAACAGGAGUAGAAACCCUAGUAGUCC
rnacentral:rRNA from 1 species